rnacentral:rRNA from 1 species
GUGAAGCGAGCGUGAGAGCGUAAGCAAAACACAAAAAAAGGACGUCCCAGUUCGGAUUGUAGUCUGCAACUCGACUACAUGAAGCUGGAAUCGCUAGUAAUCGCGGAUCAGAAUGCCGCGGUGAAUACGUUCCCGGGUCUUGUACACACCGCCCGUCACACCAUGGGAGUUGGGAAUGCCCGAAGCCGGUGACCUAACCGAGAGGGAGGAGCCGUCGAAGGCAGGUCUGAUGACUGGGGUGAAGUCGUAACAAGGUAUC